AUCUUCCCUUACCUCUGUCUUUCUCACAGGUGCAGCGCCGCCGUCGCCAUGGAGAGACCCCGCCGGAGAAUAUGUCGGCCAGCAUGGCGAACACCUCGAAGAUGAGCCCCGUGCCGUCGACGCCCGUCAGUUCAAGCACGGUGGUCGUGGCCGCCGGCGGCGACGCCGUUUGUUCGCACGGAGAGGCGAGGUCGAGGAGAAGGUCGGGGUUGCGGAGGAUGGCGGCGCGGCGCCUCGGGGUGGCGCGCGGAGAGGUGCAACGGUCGUUGCCUGUGGUCGCCGGCGACGGGGAUCGGGCGCCAGCGCACGACCGAAUGGGCGUAGUCGCCGGCGCAUAGUGGAUAAAAGGAAGGAAAGGACUGCGGACUGAAUUGAAAUUCUUAUAGGGUUGUUUUUGUAAACGUGAAACGUUUUUUCUGGGUGCCACUAAAACAGGGACGGCGGGUUGAUUUCCUGUGAACCGAGGGGCUUUCUUGCGUU